AACGUAGGAGACAAACGUUAUCCGGAGUUACUGGGCGUAAAGGGCGUGUAGGUGGUUUCGUAAGUCUGGCGUGAAAUUUUUCGGCUUAACCGGGAAAGGUCGUCGGAUACUGCAGAACUAGAGGACGGUAGAGGCGUGUGGAAUUCCGGGUGUAGUGGUGAAAUGCGUAGAUAUCGGGAGGAACACCAGUGGCGAAGGCGACUACCUGGCCUGUUCUUGACGCUGAGGCGCGAAAGCUAGGGGAGCAAACGGG
rnacentral:rRNA from 1 species